CAGUAGCCGCGGUAACACGGAGGGGGCUAGCGUUGUUCGGAAUUACUGGGCGUAAAGCGCACGUAGGCGGCUUGGUAAGUUAGAGGUGAAAGCCUGGAGCUCAACUCCAGAAUUGCCUUUAAGACUGCCGAGCUAGCAGGUGAGAGAGGUAAGUGGAAUUCCGAGUGUAGAGGUGAAAUUCGUAGAUAUUCGGAAGAACACCAGUGGCGAAGGCGGCUUACUGGCUCAUACUGGACGCUGAGGUGCGAAAGCGUGGGGAGCAAACAGGAUUAGAUACCCCUGUAGUCCCUGUCUCUUAUAC
rnacentral:rRNA from 1 species